rnacentral:rRNA from 1 species
UACGUAGGGUGCGAGCGUUGUCCGGAAUUACUGGGCGUAAAGAGCUCGUAGGUGGUUUGUCGCGUUGUUCGUGAAAACUCACAGCUUAACUGUGGGCGUGCGGGCGAUACGGGCAGACUGGAGUACUGCAGGGGAGACUGGAAUUCCCGGUGUAGCGGUGAAAUGCGCAGAUAUCAGGAGGAACACCGGUGGCGAAGGCGGGUCUCUGGGCAACAACUGACGCUGAGGAGCGAAAGCGUGGGGAGCGAACAGG